AUCAGACUUGACAUAUAAAUGUCCAGCCUCUCUGGGAAAAUCAGAUGGUCUGAGUCAGUAUUUGCCCUUGGAAAGCCAUCAACAGGACUCAACAGAGGCCCCUGUAGCACGGAGCCUGAGAGCCCAGCCGCGCACAACUCGGACUUCUCCACCUCCCUGCCACCGGCUCCCACUGGCGUGCUGGGUAGGGUAAAGAUGUCUGAAGAAGGUGAAAGGUUGUGAUCUGAAACGUGCCUCGCACGCUUUCCCGACUACGUCUGAGUCAGUACCUUUCCUUCUGUGGAUGGCUUGUUGAUGCUGCUGUCUUCGUGGGAUGGAUCGUGGGACAGAUGCAAACAGUUCGUAAUGAUUGAAACGAAAGCACCAAAUGUACACUAAGAGGAAUAGCUGUCAGCUUUCCCAGGUCAUUCUUUCGGGUUAAGCACUACCUACGCGAUGUACCUUCUUUUCAAAUACAACCAGCCCUGGGCAGUCACUAUAUUGAGCAAUGUUUGGUGUGGAAUGCUGUCCUCUGGACUUGGCUGGACGACCGCAUUUUUGAAAUCAGAGAACCUGUGAUUAUCUUCAGGAGGCCCUCAUGAUACCAGGCAGAAGCAAACAGGACAAAGGGGUCAGAAAACUCAGUGUGAGAACACUCCUGCCCAGUCACAUUAAGCAGUAGCAAAAGCCCAGCCUUUGUUUGGCACUGCCUCAGUUUGCCCUUGAUCGCCGAGCCUUGUAGUGUCAAACCAGCUGAGGGAACCAUGGGUCUUCUUCUUCCUUUUUAAUGUCAAUGCCGGGCCUGGUCUAUUCGCCACACAGUCAACCAGGAGUCCUUGUGGUUUGUCACUCUCAGAACUUGCCAGCGCUGCCUUUGCCUCUUUUGCACAUCCGAUGCGAAGUCAUUCUGCUCGUCUCAUUUCAUGUCUUGUCCUUUACUAACACAGAGCCUUGUUUUAGGUGAUGGGAAAGCCAAGAUACAGUAUUUUAUGACUGUAUGGGCACCUUUAAACACUGAGAACUUUGUAAGAGCUGGGUGUGUGCGUCACGCACCUGACACAGACAUGUACCCAUGCACACACACUGAGCUUUUACAUGAAGAUAAAACCUGUCCUGGUUGAAUGGAUUUGUCAAGGAAGAUAAAGAAAAAUUGAUAGAUCAAGACAAGGGAAUAAAAAAUGGUUUCGAAUCACAACACUAGAGGCUGCUUUUGUUUGUUCAUUUGUUGUUCUGGGUUUUUAAUCUUACUUUCCUAACUGUGCUAAAUGUCCUUGGUGAUUAGAAAAAAAUGAACUAAUAUCUUCUG